AAACAAACAAAUUAAUUUUUUUUUAAGUAUCGGGAUUCGCUGAUUCUGGGUAUUCCCUUUUAAUUUAUCAGUUGUUAUUUUACAGACGUCUCGUUUAUAUCCAGAAUUGAACAUCUUUUUUUCAGCCGUACGAAACAAGGGAAAGAAGGAGUUAGACCGCAGCUGUACAAACUCGCGUGGUGAUUUCAUGGAAUACCAAACUGCUGAAGUAGGAAAUACUGAGAAGACGCUAGUAAUCAAUCACCAAAUGGUCAUCGAGAAAAUUAAACUCUAAGACAAGGAUCAGCAGAAAUGGAAGUGAAUUAUAAACAGAAUUAUGACAUUCUCUGUCUUCAUUGAUCAAGAGAAUAGAUGUAACGUUCUGUUGACUAUUGCCUUCAAAAUAUAGAUGUUAAAUCAAUUAUUCAAAUAUAUAUUUAGUUUAGAUGACAGCUAC